UGGGUUGAUAAGGGCUUAUGAGGUAGAACUGGUUUUGACCUAGUAAGAGUUCAACUGUUUUCUCUGUUCACAUAAGAGAAGGGAGAGGACUAGCAAACAGUCCUGCUACCGGACAUGGGAUUUCAGGGGGUCUGUGGAAGCCUGUGGGGGAAGCAAACUGCUGAACAGAGGCCAGGAGGCCUUUGUUUGGGGGAUGUGAGCAGAGACUUGAGGAGGGACAUCUGUGGGAAUAGCUGGUGAGACAGAGGCCUUUCUCUAAGAGACACCAGCUUUCCUGGGAAGAAGGGGAGCUAAGAGUGGUUAGCAAAAUUCAUCGAUUUGUGCAUAAGAAGUACACGAGAAUGUCGUCUUCAAACAGGAUCUCCAACCUCACGCCCAGAUACACUGCCUUAAUUUGUCUGAGAAAGGGUGGCGAAUCAGCCUUUGCCUGGAGACCUUGCCUUCACCCCAUGAAGGCUGUUCUUAUAUACCCAGCGUUGUGGGAGAAGUAAGAUCAGCUGACCACUAAUCCAAGCUUGGCACUGGAUAAAACAACCCAACCUUCACAACACGAAACUUCACAAAGCAUGAACUUGGUCCCAAAGCUGAUGGGAAAGAGUGAGGGGAUUGGUGCAGAGGGUAAAUUCCUGUUUCCCUGAAACCAAACAGUGACGAUUAAUUUUCCAUUUCUCUCUCAAAGAAACUUGCUUUGAGUAUGUCUAUCCCAAAUAAACUAAAUAGUCUUUUAGAAAUUA